rnacentral:misc_RNA from 1 species
GAUGAAGAACGUAGCGAAAUGCGAUAAGUAAUGUGAAUUGCAGAAUUCAGUGAAUCAUCGAAUCUUUGAACGCACAUUGCGCCCGCCAGUAUUCUGGCGGGCAUGCCUGUUCGAGCGUCAUUACAACCCUCAGGCCCCCGGGCCUAGCGUUGGGGAUCGGCGGAGCCCCCCGUGGGCACACGCCGUCCCCCAAAUGCAGUGGCGGUCCCGCCGCAGCUUCCAUCGCGUAGUAGCUAACACCUCGCGACUGGAGAGCGGCGCGGCCACGCCGUAAAACACCCAACUCUUCUGAAGUUGACCUCGAAUCAGGUAGGAAUACCCGCUGAACUUAAGCAUAUCAAUAAGCGGAGGA